CUCUCUCUUCCCUCGCCUCGCGUCUCCUCUCUUCUCGCGUCUCUUUUCCCUCGCCUCUCUUCACUCGAUCGCUUGUCUAACGAAACACAGCCCUCUCGCCUCUGUUAUUCGCCGCACGAACGUUGAUCAGCCAGUGACAUUGCUCACCUGGUCACCUCCGGCCACCUGAUCGAUGGUCGUCGCCAGUCGCCUAGUCGACAGUUGCAUCAUCGCCUAGAUCUAUUGCUGUGAGGCUCGUCGAGGUCGCAGGACCCCGGCAUCACCGCACCUGGCGUGUAACGACGACUAGCCGAACCCCCUCUCUCUCUCUGGUGUGUCGCCAAUCGGGUUGGAGUCACAAAUUACAGCAAGAGUUCCCUAUCUCUCUGAUUGCUCACAGGAUUUCCGGAGUAUCUGGGGUGGAGGUCGUGGCCUGUUUACGCUGGUGCUUGAAGUACCACAUCUCUUGGGAUAAAACUAGUGGUCUGCAGAUGCAUUCAAUACCAAAAUUUGGUUCCCUUCCCUGCGUUCAUGAUGCUGGUGUUGUUGUUCGAGACCCAUUCCUUGGCAUUACAAUCAAAAUGCUAUCACAUCAAGCUGUAAGAUAUCACCGAGAAUAUUAACCUAUACCUUUUAGGCAGUCAUCCUACAGCAAAUUUAUGAGCCUCUGAUGCAAUAUGAAAAUGAUGAUAAGGCUGUAUUUUUAGAUUUGAUACUAGUCUAACUGGAUCUAAUGUUAUUGGAAAGAUUCUUUUGCUUGGUGGGAUUAAAGAAAGAUGGGAGAAGGAAAUUGCUUGGAUGGCUCUUCAAGGUAUCAACUCACCACUAGUUCAAGUCUCUGCGCAAUAUGUUGCUGGAAAGUGGAAAGGAUUGAGCAUAUGGUGAACACGAACAACAAUAUGCAAGUUGAAGUCUCGAAACAGAAAAAGUGAGAGACAUUAAAUGUGGUUGUACUGAGUAACACUAUUGUAUAGUGACCAUUGCUAAAACAUGUUGGUUUCUACUUGAUUGGUGCUUUUUUUUAUGAGGGAUUGCUCCUAAGACAUAUGGGUUGAUGCAUGUCAAUUGUACUAAAGAUUGUGGCUUUUAUUUUUCAAACUAAUAUGUUGAUGUAUGUUAAACACUUAUGUUGUUGCACAUCGAUUAAUGCAUAAAUGUGAUUUUUCGAGCA